rnacentral:rRNA from 1 species
UACAGAGGGCCCAAGCGUUGUUCGGAUUUACUGGGCGUAAAGGGGGCGUAGGCGGUGGGGUAAGUUUGAGGUGAAAGCUCCGGGCUCAACCCGGAAAAUGCCUUGAAUACUAUCCGGCUAGAGGGUUGGAGGGGAGACUGGAAUUCUCGGUGUAGCAGUGAAAUGCGUAGAUCUCGAGAGGAACACCAGUGGCGAAGGCGGGUCUCUGGACAACACCUGACGCUGAGGCACGAAAGCCAGGGGAGCAAACGGG